rnacentral:misc_RNA from 1 species
UCUCCGUAGGUGAACCUGCGGAGGGAUCAUUACCGAGUGAGGGUCCUUGUGGCCCGACCUCCAACCCCCUGUCUUCCGACUCUGUUGCCUCGGGGGCGACCCGGCCUUCGGGCGUCUUGGGGCCCCCGGUGGACCACUCAACACUGCAUCUUUGCGUCUGAGUAAAUAUUUGAAUCAAUCAAAACUUUCAACAACGGAUCUCUUGGUUCUGGCAUCGAUGAAGAACGCAGC